GACGAACGCUGGCGGCGUGCUUAACACAUGCAAGUCGAACGGAAAGGCCCUGCUUUUGUGGGGUGCUCGAGUGGCGAACGGGUGAGUAACACGUGAGUAACCUGCCCUUGACUUUGGGAUAACUUCAGGAAACUGGGGCUAAUACCGGAUAGGAGCUCCUGCUGCGGGGUGGGGGUUGGAAAGUUUCGGCGGUUGGUGAUGGACUGGCGGCUUAUCAGCUUGUUGGUGGGGUAGUGGCUUACCAAGGCUUUGACGGGUAGCCGGCCUGAGAGGGUGACCGGCCACAUUAGGCCUGAGAUGCGGCCCAGACUCCUACGGGAGGCAGCAGUGGGGAAUAUUGCACAAUGGGCGGAAGCCUGAUGCAGCAACGCCGCGUGCGGGAUGACGGCCUUCGGGUUGUAAACCGCUUUCGCCUGUGACGAAGCGUGAGUGACGGUAAUGGGUAAAGAAGCACCGGCUAACUACGUG
rnacentral:rRNA from 1 species